rnacentral:sRNA from 1 species
UCAGAUCUGCCUAACUGUGUUGAACAGAGACGAGAGAACAGAGACUUGAAGAAAUGAGCAUCAGCUCCAUUCGGCAGCCCUGGCAUCACUAAAGGGAGAUAUAGUGGAACUUAAUAAGCGUCUCCAGCAAACAGAGAGGGAACGGGACCUUUUGGAAAAGAAAUUGGCCAAGGCACAGUGCGAGCAGUCCCACCUCAUGAGAGAGCAUGAGGAUGUCCAGGAGCGAACGACGCUUCGCUAUGAGGAACGCAUCACAGAGCUCCACAGCGUCAUUGCGGAGCUCAACAAGAAGAUAGACCGUCUGCAAGGCACCACCAUCAGGGAGGAAGAUGAGUACUCAGAACUGCGAUCAGAACUCAGCCAGAGCCAACACGAGGUCAACGAGGACUCUCGAAGCGUGGACCAAGACCAGACCUCUGUCUCUAUCCCCGAAAACCAGUCUACCAUGGUCACUGCUGACAUGGACAACUGCAGUGACCUGAACUCAGAACUGCAGAGGGUGCUGACAGGGCUGGAGAAUGUCGUCUGCGGCAGGAAGAAGAGCAGCUGCAGCCUCUCCGUGGCCGAGGUGGACAGGCACAUUGAGCAGCUCACCACGGCCAGCGAGCACUGUGACCUGGCUAUUAAGACAGUCGAGGAGAUUGAGGGGGUGCUUGGCCGGGACCUGUAUCCCAACCUGGCUGAAGAGAGGUCUCGGUGGGAGAAGGAGCUGGCUGGGCUGAGGGAAGAGAAUGAGAGCCUGACUGCCAUGCUGUGCAGCAAAGAGGAAGAACUGAACCGGACUAAGGCCACCAUGAAUGCCAUCCGGGAAGAGCGGGACCGGCUCCGGAGGAGGGUGAG